rfam:Aedes albopictus isolate Foshan contig78850, whole genome shotgun sequence.
UGCCCAGCAACUCCUGUCCCUUCCUCCUCGUGGUACUGGCCGGGAACUAAGAGCAAUCUUAGGGAAGAUCGGGUAACCAACCCCGGUGGGAACUUUGAACAUAGGCUGACAGGGAAGG